AGGCUUACCGUUCAAAAACCUGAGAUCUGGAAGGACCACCGGUGCGAAGGGGGAUUUUUCGUUUGUAAAUGACCCUGAGGGGCGAAAGCCUGGGGAGCGAACAGGGUUAGAUACCCUGGUUGUUCACGCCGUAAACGAUGAGUGGUAAGUGUUAGGGGGUUUCCGCCCCUUAGUGCUGCAGCUAACGCAUUAAGCACUCCGCCUGGGGAGUACGGUCGCAAGACUGAAACUCAAAGGAAUUGACGGGGGCCCGCACAAGCGGUGGAGCAUGUGGUUUAAUUCGAAGCAACGCGAAGAACCUUACCAGGUCUUGACAUCCUCUGACAAUCCUAGAGAUAGGACGUCCCCUUCGGGGGCAGAGUGACCAGGUGGUGCCAUGGUUGUUCGUUCAGCUUCGGUU
rnacentral:rRNA from 1 species